AUUGAACUCUGGCGGCAUGCCUUACACAUGCAAGUCGAGCGGCAGCACGGGUGCUUGCACCUGGUGGCGAGUGGCGAACGGGUGAGUAAUACAUCGGAACGUACCUUAUCGUGGGGGAUAACGCAGCGAAAGCUGUGCUAAUACCGCAUACGCCCUGAGGGGGAAAGCGGGGGAUCGCAAGACCUCGCGCGAUUAGAGCGGCCGAUGCCUGAUUAGCUUGUUGGUGGGGUAAAAGCCCACCAAGGCGACGAUCAGUAGCUGGUCUGAGAGGACGAUCAGCCACACUGGGACUGAGACACGGCCCAGACUCCUACGGGAGGCAGCAGUGGGGAAUUUUGGACAAUGGGGGCAACCCUGAUCCAGCAAUGCCGCGUGAGUGAAGAAGGCCUUCGGGUUGUAAAGCCCUUUUGUCAGGGAAGAAACACCGGCUCUAACACAGUCCGGGAAUGACGGUACCUGAAGAAUAAGCACCGGCUAACUACGUGCCAGCCGCCGCGGUAA
rnacentral:rRNA from 1 species